AUAUUCUCAAUUCUAUAAUAUCCAUUUCCAGGGUAUGCAAAAUGUUGCAAUCCGCACCAUGUUGAGGGACAGUGCUGCUCGUUCUCUGGGCACAUGAGUCUAGCUCAUGCAAAUUAAAUGUUGCCAGCAGCAUACGACAUUGUUGCGAAGAAAGAGGGAAAAAAGAGAGAAAAUAUUCCACCAAACGGCUACCGAAAUUCAAAAAAAAAUACUCAAAAAUGGCUAACACCAAAAAUAAAAUAAAAAACCAAAAAUUAAAAAAGAUAACCCAAACGUAUCAAAUUUUGUGGUUUUUAUUUAAGAAUUAAGAAAAUUUAAGAACAAUUUAAUUUUUUAUUUAAAUUGUAAAAACACUAACACACUGAGUGGGAAAAAUAUACUCAAGUCGGAGUUGCGUUGUUGCCUGGGGUUUGAUUGCGUUUUGUUUUGGAAAAUCACUCAAAAUAAGUAAAAGUAAAAGAGAACGCUCUGUAAUGUUUUACAAUGCUACCUUAUUUGAGGUUCCACUGAACUGCGUACAACUGUUACGGUAUGCCAUCCACUUGUGUUUCCAGUUAAUCCGAGAUAAUUCAUACAGUGAUGCAUUAUUGGCGCCAAUUUAAGAUCCAACCGAGGAUCCAAAAUGUUGGAGACAUUACUUGCCAGUCAUUAAAACAUCUGCAUUUUCUUACAUCGAUUACUAUUAAAAUUAUGUUUUAUUAAUCUUUGUUUUACAACAAAAUACAGACUAAAUAAUAAGUAAAAUAUAUUUAUUUAUUAUAUAUUCUUAUUAUUAUUAAUAUUGACCCUGGCCAGUGGUGGCGCUCAAAGUUUACGCUAUUUUGUUUGAAUUUUCCGUUUAUGGGGAGCUACUGUUUUGUAUGUUAUGUUUCAGUUUUAUUCAUUAUUAUAAAGGAGACAACUAUCUACUAAACUGUCGUUGACCCACGCCCAUGCGCGGUAUUUAUUACUCUUUCGCUUACUAUUUAUUCUAUGACAAAAUUUAAAAUGUGUUGCUUGUGCCGGGUGCGUGUACAUUUAAACCAAAGGGUUAUGUUUUACAAAAAAUAUAUUGGUAAAAUGAUUGUAUAAAUGCAUAAAUAAGUAGUUAAAAAUGUUUGGCUGCAGAGGGGACUAUCCUUCAGCCGGGUUCGGUUCGGUUCGGUAUACUACAGUUAAAAAUUUGUGUGAUUUCAAGUAUUUUUGUACAAUUUAUUCGCAUGUGGUGUUUCUAUACAUUUACAAUUAUGUAUGCAUUACAUUAUUCUUAUGUGGGAAGCAACAUGCACAUACAUAAGAUUGAAAAACAAGCGCCCUAAAAUACAGAUUGCUUCUUUCCUUGGGGUUUCGUUUCCUUCAUUGCUGGGGCAACGCGCGCAUAACCAGCACGCGGUCCAAAAAACCAAGUUAAAAAAUACAACGAAAACAUUCAAAAAGUAUAUAAUGCACAACUAACGGAUGUGGUCCGCCUGUAAAAAUUUAAGUGGCCAAAGGUAUGUCUGUUCGUGUACUCGUAUGCUCCUCUUGAUCUGCCACUUGUUGAUUCCUGCUUAGCCUGUUCCCCAGCCGGGCCCUUCAUCAUGCAAUGGCAUUGACCUAGUUCUGGCUCUGCCCAGGUGUGGAGUGCAUGCACGCCACUACUUCGAUCGGGUCGGAUUCUUUCUUUAAACUUUGAUCUGCAUAGCAGUAACCCUAUUUUUGUAUGUGGGAGGAUAUUAAUGGUUAGGAUAACGUUGCAAA